rnacentral:rRNA from 1 species
UUCCGACCUGCACGAAUGGCGUAAUGAUGGCCACGCUGUCUCCACCCGAGACUCAGUGAAAUUGAAAUCGCAGUGAAGAUGCUGUGUACCCGCGGCUAGACGGAAAGACCCCGUGAACCUUUACUAUAGCUUUACACUGGAUGCUGAUGUUGUCUGUGUAGGAUAGCUGGGAGGCUUUGAAACCACGUCGCCAGAUGCGGUGGAGCCAACCUUGAAAUACCAGCCUGACAUCAUUGGCGUUCUAACUCAGGUCCGUUAUCCGGAUCGAGGACAGUGUAUGGUGGGUAGUUUGACCGGGG